GCGCUCGUAGCUCAACUGGACAGAGUGUUAGGUUACACCUAAAGGUUGCGGGUUCGACUCCUGCUAAGGCG
rnacentral:tRNA from 1 species